AAAUUUUAGUACUCACGAUGUCUUUAGUUUCUUUUUUUUUUAUUAUAGACAUAUAAGUCUCCAUCAAAUACUGAAUCCAAUUCCAUUUUUGUUUAAACUCCGACGAGCUGUUUCUCGAUUGCUACAUAAUUAGAAUUUAAAGAAAAUAGAAUUGAACGCAACAGUUGUGAUUAAAAAUGUCAAAAAUAUUUGUCGCAUUAUUUGUGAUUACGGUGGUCUUUGCUUUGAUGGAAUUUUGCGUUCUCGCAUCCGAUUAUGACGAAUUGAGGAUACUGCUGGAUUUCAUCCAAUCCAGAAUAGAUCUCAUCACUAAUGGACAAUGCAGAAAAUUUUGGGGAGGAUGUAAAAUACAUGAGGAUUGCUGCAGUAUGUGGUGCGCUAAGUCGGGUUAUUGGGGACAUUAUUGCAGUAUUCCUACAUAAUAAAAUAUGAACUUUACAAAAACAAAACUGUAUUAUGUACAAAAUAAAAUAAACGUAUAUAAUCAAACAAUGAGCUGUCGUUACAAGGAUUUUACGAAUACAAUGGUCGAUUAAAUUAUAAAAAUUAUCAAGGCUUGAAGAAUAGCUUAAAUUAAAAACAUAAUAUAAUUUAUGUAAAUUAGAAAAUGCAAUAAAAGGGUCACAAUUUACCGUGAAAUGUAUUAAUUAAUUA